rnacentral:rRNA from 1 species
GAUGAACGCUGGCGGCGUGCCUAAUACAUGCAAGUCGAGCGAACAGACGAGGAGCUUGCUCCUCUGACGUUAGCGGCGGAAGGGUGAGUAACACGUGGAUAACCUACCUAUAAGACUGGGAUAACUUCGGGAAAACGGAGCUAAUACCGGAUAAUAUAUUGAACCGCAUGGUUCAAUAGUGAAAGACGGUUUUGCUUUCACUUAUAGAUGGAUCCGCGCCGCAUUAGCUAGUUGGUAAGGUAACGGCUUACCAAGGCAACGAUGCGUAGCCGACCUGAGAGGGUGAUCGGCCACACUGGAACUGAGACACGGUCCAGACUCCUACGGGAGGCAGCAGUAGGGAAUCUUCCGCAAUGGGCGAAAGCCUGACGGAGCAACGCCGCGUGAGUGAUGAAGGUCUUCGGAUCGUAAAACUCUGUUAUUAGGGAAGAACAAAUGUGUAAGUAACUAUGCACGUCUUGACGGUACCUAAUCAGAAAGCCACGGCUAACUACGUG